GAAUGCACUGCUUGAGUUUUGCGAGAGUGGUCAAGGCCAAAUAGCAAGUUGUAGAUGGAAUUCUGCAUCAUCUGAAUCUGGAGAUCAAGAAGAGGCUAUAAAGAAGAAGCCAUGGAUGAACUUCAACUAAUUACAUGAGUUUAUACCUGCGAGUGAUGAUGCGCCUACCAUACUCCCUCAGAUCUUGGUUGCCAAAAAGGUAAAUGUACUAUCUUUUCUUAAGGCACAUUAUUAAAUUGAAUUUUGCAUUCACGAACGCAAGCAUUUGAGUGGUUCACUCAGAAAUCAUGUUUCUUUAAUUUGUAUUGUAGAUUGGAAUUUUGUUCUUUUUUUUUUGUUGGAUUCGCCACACACCUCACCAGCUCC
rnacentral:lncRNA from 1 species